AUGGGUGAACAGGGAGAUCUCAAACUUUGACUACCUGAUGCAGUUGAACACCAUAGCAGGACGGACGUAUAAUGAUCUGGCUCAGUAUCCUGUGUUCCCCUGGAUCCUGUCGGAUUAUACGUCCGAGGAGCUGGAUCUGUCCGAUCCGCGGGUGUUCAGAGAUCUCUCUAAACCUGUGGCCGUGCUGAACGAGAGGAACGCCAAAGCCGUCAGAGAGAAAUAUGAGAGUUUUGAAGACCCCACGGGCACCAUAGACC